UGCCUGCCCCACAGAAGGGUUCAACACAGUGGUUUGCUCUGACUGUAACAGAACGUGUCGCUCACCCUCUUGUUUCACCAGACACAAAUUGGUCGGUUCAAGCAGAAAGUCCAGCCUCUGCGACCAAAUCAAAAAAAUGCGCACGAUGCGAACUAUACUACAGUGUCAAUUUGUCGUUAGACGAUGCAAAGCAUCGCUGUGCGGUGAAAAAAUGUAAAAUCUGUGGUGAAAAACUGCAGAGCGACUCUAAAGUCGAUCAUAGUUGUUACAUUCCUACCCUCCAACCAGACAUCUCACAUCCUGAUUUGGUUUUUUAUGAUUUUGAAACAUUUGUGGGUCAAAAUGGAGAGCAUGUUCCUUUUUUAGUGCAUACAAAAACAUCCAAAGGUGAAGAGAAGGCGUUUUAUGGUCUUGACUGUGCUAAAAUGUUUAUUUUGCAUUUCAGGAAGCCACGAUACAAACAGAACAUCUUUAUAGCCCAUAAUGCCAAGGGGUUUGACAGUUAUCUGGUGUUAAAAGGUAUGUUGGAACUGGAUGUGACGCCACAACAGAUUCUGAUGAACGGGAGUAAAAUCCUCAGUUUUGAGGAAUCCCAUUAUGGUCUCAAAUUCAUAGAUUCCCUGUCAUUUCUCCCCAUGCGUCUCAGCGCUAUGCCCAAAGCCUUAGGAUUCACUGACAAGACCAAGGGGUAUUUCCCACACAAAUUUAGCUCAGAAAUUCACCUCAAUUACGUGGGGCCCUAUCCCGUUCCGUCCGACUACGACGUAGAUCGCAUGACGGUGCGCGAACGGGAAGAAUUUGACCCGUGGUACAACGAGGUCAGCCGCGGUACCUUUGACUUCAAAAAGGAGGCCUCGCUGUACUGCAAAAAUGAUGUUGACAUUCUCACCCAGGGCAGUCUUAAAUUUAGAGAUCAGUUCCUAGGUGAGACGGGGGUAGACCCUUUUGGUUCUAUCGCCAUAGCCGGAGCCUGUAUGAAGGUGUUUCGCACCAAUUAUCUGACUCCUAACACUCUGGCUAUCCCCUGCCCGCACAACUAUUUGAAUCAGAGCAAAAGAUUCUCUAGCGCAUCGGUUCAAUGGUUAGAAUGGUUGAUGCACAAAGAAAAAAUCUUUAUACAGCAUGCUCUAAACAUGGGUGAAAAACAGAUUGGUGCAUUUUUCGUAGACGGAUAUGCUGAGAUUGACGGUGUAAAACAUGUCUGGGAAUUUCAUGGAUGUUUUUACCACGGCUGUCCCAGUUGCUUUGAUCCCACAGUACAGUGCGAUAUGAGAGGCGUCACCUUUGGUGAACUGCACUACAAAAGUGAGAAGAGGGUGAGUGAGCUACAGACCACACAUGGGGUUCGUGUUGUAGUCAUGAGAGAACACACGUGGACCCAGAUGAAAACAACAUGCACGGAGGUUAAAGAAUUUCUCCGUUGCUUUAACGCUCCUGAGCCUCUCAACCCCCGAAAAGCACUUUUCGGAGGUAGAACGAGCGCUUUAAAACUGCGACACACGGCAGCGCUCGAUGAAACCAUCCACUAUGUUGAUGUCACCUCACUGUACCCGUUUGUCAACAGUACUUGCUCUUACCCCUUUGGUCACCCCGUGAUCAUCUACAAAGAUUUCGAGGACCCACGCAGCUACUACGGCUUCAUCAGAGCCACUGUGUAUCCUCCUCGAGGUCUUUUAUUCCCCGUGUUACCGCACAAAAGUGAGGGAGGUAAAUUACUCUUUACACUGUGUCGCACCUGUGCCGAAACUAACAAUGAGGGUGGCCCCUGCGAACACGACGAUGAGGGCAGAGCUCUGACGGGGGUCUGGGUCACCGUUGAAUUCAUCAAAGCUCUGGAUGUGGGGUACAGGGUGGGUAAAAUUACAGAAGUCUGGCACUUUGACAAGAGCAGCGACACUGUGUUUACCGACUACAUACACACCUUUUUGAAAGGAAAGCAGGAAGCCUCGGGUUACCCCGCUGAGGCGACGGACCGAGAGAGCAGGGAAAAAUACAUCAGGGACUAUCAGGAGCAUCAGGGCAUUCUUUUAGAUGCUGGCAAAAUCGAGACCAAUCCUGUGAAAAGACAGGUUGCUAAAUUGUGUCUCAACAGUUUGUGGGGAAAGUUUGCACAGAGAGAUAAUUUGUUUAAAACCACCAUUGUCUCAGAUCCUAAAGAAUUCUUUAGUUACAUGUUUUCAGGUAAAUACAAAGUCGAAUACUUUUCCGUUCUCCACAGCAACAGAGCUCUCAUCAGGUGGAAAUACACCGACAGGUACGUUCAACCCCCAGGUAAACAGAGUAAUGUUUUUAUUGCAGCAUUCACCACAGCACACGCACGACUGAAGCUGUACAGUUAUCUGGAAAAACUACAAGACAGAGUGUUUUACAUUGACACAGAUAGUUUAAUCUAUCUGGUCAAAGAGGGUGAGAAACCUCUAGAGCUGGGUAACUAUUUAGGUGACCUGACGGAUGAACUGGAUGGUGACAGCAUUCAAGAGUUUGCAGCGGCGGGUCCCAAGAGUUACGCGUACCAAACACGAAAUAAAAAGAAAGUCGUCAUGCGUGUGAAAGGUAUCACUCAGACCCGGGAAUGUUGUGAGCGUGUGAGCUUUGACAGUGUCAGAGAGCUGGUGGAGGGUUACCUGAGUAAUAAACAAGAGGGAAACACGAUCGAGAUCCGUCAACACAGCAUCAGACGUGAUAAAAAGGGUUUCGCAUUGAGAAAUGUGUCAUUUGAUAAAAAAUUUAGGGUGGUGUAUGACAAAAGACGACUCUUUGCUGACGGAACAACUCUGCCUUUCGGGUAUUAGAAAUGCAGGAAAUUGAAUUUGAUCCUAGGUUUAUCUUUCCUUUUUCUUGUUUAAUCGCGGGUCCGAGCGGGUGUGGAAAGACCUAUUUUGUAAAAAAUGUAUUGGAAAACUGUGACCGUGUAAUAAAUGUUGUACCUGACAAUAUCGUGUGGAUUUAUACCUCUUUUCAACCUAUGUACGCUGAACUGCAAAAGAUGAUUAAAAACAUUAAAUUUGUCAAAGGUCUGCCUGAUUCUUUUGAAGAUGAAACACUGUUUCCUCCUGAUCAAAAGCAUUUGAUUAUUU
rnacentral:lncRNA from 1 species